UUGCACAGCCAUUAAUUGGCAAAAUGAUAAUCUCUCUACCAAACUGCAUUGUAAUCCUUCAGAUACUAUGACUGAUGGCCCUCCAGUCCAAAAAAGGCAUUCUGAUCUAUCAGGAAGAAUGUCUGCUCCAGGUAAGAAUGGCAAGAGAUUCCAUCUAUAUUUUAAAAGUGUAGCAUCUUUUUCAAGCAAUAUUAAAUAUGUCUUUUUUUUUCUCCUUCCAGAUCUUGGUCCUUCUGUAACAACACUGAUCAACUGUGGGCCAAGAACAUCUUCUCCUUCAACUGCAGUUCUUGAUGGAAUAGUUAACAUUGGUUGUAAACCAUCUUUCCCGGGGGGGCCCAUGAUGACAUCCCCAGCAGUUGGGCCUUUGCCAC
rnacentral:lncRNA from 1 species